rnacentral:misc_RNA from 1 species
AAAGUCGUAACAAGGUUUCCGUAGGUGAACCUGCGGAAGGAUCAUUAACGAGUUCACUGAGUUGUCGCUGCCCUCUCGGGGGAUGUGCACGCUCUUUCACUCAUCUCACACACCUGUGCACCUAUGCGAGUCAAUGGGGGAUUAGCGAAAGGACCCGAAAGGAUUCGACUAGCGUUCUCUGUCGGCUCGAUUUUUAUAAACUCUUGUAUGUCUCAGAAUGUCUACUUUGCUUAACGCAAUAAAUACAACUUUCAACAACGGAUCUCUUGGUUCUC